AAGAGAUUAGUUGUAGUGCUCUCAGUCCUCACUUCAGAAGAAAUGGAUAUUGCAAGAUGGCGGCAAGAUAUUCAU